rnacentral:lncRNA from 1 species
UUGCUGUUCCCAUCUCAUUCCUUUCCCUCUUCCACGCGUCAUCAUUCUGCUCCUGAGUGGCUCGCUUGUGGGCGUGCUGGCAGGAUAUGGCAUCGUCUUCGGUUGUGCGUCAAGAAUUCUGCAUACAAAAGCAAGUUUGUAUGAAGAAGUCAAAGCGAACACCUACGAUGAUGGCAUCUCAGAGAGCGAGCUGACCAAGGGCUCGAAAAUGUAGAUAUACCAGAUGUUCACUAUCCGAGGAACAGGCCGUGGAAGCUUUAUUGCUGGUAAAAGUGUCCAUAACCAGAGGGUUAUAUCAGCUGUUUUGGUGAAGCCCUCCUGCAUCUGAACUGGCUGACACAGAGGGCACAGCAUGAUCAUAGGUCUGAAGGUAUGUUUUGAUGUGAGAGAGGAAGCCAGUCCCGUCAUCGCCACCUCACCCCCUCUUAAGAUAACCUUUGGGCCAACUGGGGGCCCAAGACUGGUUAGGAGAAACCGCAAUUGUGAUGAACUGAGAGAAUAUUAGGGUAGCACUGUAAUUCAUGAAUCAUAUGCUGUCUGCCGCUUUUCUUAACUCUUUCCCUUUCUGUCUUCUACACCUCUCUCCCCACCUCAUCUUUCUUCCUCAUUUUAUAAUGCACACCAAAUGUGCAUUGAAGUACAGAAUGAACUUGUAUUGAUAAUAUUACAAUUAUCAUAAUUAUAAUGCACUUAUGUAUUUCUAACACCUGGAUAAUGAACUUCUUUCAAUAAAGCGA